GACGAACCGUGCGAACGUUUGUUCGGAUUCACUGGGCUUAAAGGGCGCGUAGGCGGCUUGCCAAGUCAGGGGUGAAAUCUUUCGGCUUAACCGGAAAAGUGCUUCUGAUACUGGCGGGCUGGAGGGAGGUAGGGGCAGACGGAACUUCCGGUGGAGCGGUGAAAUGCGUAGAUAUCGGGAGGAACACCUAUGGCGAAGGCAGCUCGCUGGGACGUUACUGACGCUGAGACGCGAAAGCGUGGGGAGCAAACAGG
rnacentral:rRNA from 1 species